UACGAAGGGGGCUAGCGUUGCUCGGAAUCACUGGGCGUAAAGGGCGCGUAGGCGGCGUUUUUAAGUCGGGGGUGAAAGCCUGUGGCUCAACCACAGAAUGGCCUUCGAUACUGGGACGCUUGAGUAUGGUAGAGGUUGGUGGAACUGCGAGUGUAGAGGUGAAAUUCGUAGAUAUUCGCAAGAACACCGGUGGCGAAGGCGGGUCUCUGGG
rnacentral:rRNA from 1 species